CAAAUAUAGUUUUAAAAAGGUUUUUGAUUUGGUAAUUUAUGUUCUAUAACAAUUUAUUAGGUUCAAGUGGUAAGACCCUAAGGUCAAGUGGUUUUAGAAAGUGAGGUAUCAAGACCUCGUUUCUAUAAACCGAGCCGUAAAUAUUUUUAUAAAUAUUUACGGAGUUUCAUUAAGGUGGUAUUAAAGUUUCAUUGAAAAAUUUUAACGUUUCGAUAGUUAAUUAAUUAAAAAGAACUAAAUUGAAAAAUGUGUAAAACUUGCUAAUUAUAGCAAUUAGGUGAUGAAAUGAUGUAAUUAUUAAUUGAGGAAGGAAUUAAGUGAUAAUUAAGCCCUAAAUAGUAUAGUGGGACAGUAAAUUGAUGGAUAAGGACAAAAUAAUUAAAUUAUAAUGGCAAACUUGUAAUUUAGUUGAAAUUAAAACAAAAUUAAGUAAGAAGAAAUAGGAUUUCUUCUUCAUUUUAUUCUUUUGCCACUGACGGAACACCAUAGAAAUAGAUUGGAGAAUUGGUUGAGCAUACGAGCUUCCAUGUGAGUUCAAUUCUUACCCGUUUCUUGUAAUUUUUAUGUUUUUGAGAUAGUUGCAACUAGGUCCAGCUAACCCGUACCUUCGUUUCUAAUUCUGUUAAAAAUUUUGGAAGUUUCCAUUGAAAAAUAUUAGAUGUUUUUUAUGAAUAACAUGGAUUUGGAGCUUUGAUUGUGUUGUGUGAUGAUUUUGUAAAGUGAUUUUUGUUAAAUAUUGAUUUUAGGAUUAAAUUGUGAAAAUGUCAAAAUAUUAGGGUUUGAUAGUGAAUUUUAGGUUUAUUAAGGGUUGUAUGAGGGCCUAGAAUAUUUGGAUAGGUUGUUUAUUUGAGAAAAUUAGUUAAUGUGAUAGAUUAACUAAUUAAGGGAUUAAAUUGCAAAAAUUGUAAAAGUUUAGGUAAUUGCAUAAAGUAGAAAAAUAAAAGGGUAUUAAUUGUAAAAUGGAUUAGAAAUGAAAUAUAUGCUAAUAAAUGAGUAAUUUUAUAUUUUAGAUCAAGAUCUCGUAGAUAUUCGUGGAAAAAAAAUAGCGGAAUAGUUCCUAAACUUCUACAAUUACUACAAUUCAGUCCAGGUAAGUUCGUACGGUUAAAAUUUAACAUUUGUACAAAUUGAUGAUUGGUAUUAUGCAUAUAUUCUAUUGCUGGAAAUGAAUUAUUGUUUGAAUUAUAAUAUUGAAUUGGAUAUCCGGUUUGAAUUGAACGCGAGAUUUGAGUACAUACGUGAUUUGGUGUAUGACGGGGGUUUGGAGUGGAGAUGGUAUUGGAGGGAGAUAUUAGAAUUUUACCCAAGUAAACGGGGUUCAUCAUUUGUUGUGAACUAUCGUGUUUUAUUUUAUUUUUGGCAUGAUUGGGUGGAUCAGCUCUUACUAGCUUCUGUUCAGCUUUCGAGCUUCUGUUGGCGUAUUUGGGAGGACCAGCUCUUAUGAGCUUCUGUUGACGAUGUACUCUUAUCCGAAAGUCGCUCUUCGAAUGGAAAAAUCUCGGUUGGACGAAAGGAUCGGCACUCAAGUCACACUAUCCAAUUUAUCUCGGUAGUUUUUGAAAUGUUAAAUUCAAAUUAUAUGACAUGUAUAGGCUCUUGUGCUAUUUUGGUUAAUGUUUGGCUUAUGUGAAUAUUAUGAAUGAUAUUUUGUGCAAAUAACUAAUUUGCAAAGGGUAUGAGAAUGAGGUAUAGUUGUUAUGCUA